UACAGAGGGUGCAAGCGUUAAUCGGAAUUACUGGGCGUAAAGCGCACGUAGGCGGAUAUUUAAGUCAGGGGUGAAAUCCCGGGGCUCAACCCCGGAACUGCCUUUGAUACUGGGUAUCUCGAGUCCGAGAGAGGUGAGUGGAAUUCCGAGUGUAGAGGUGAAAUUCGUAGAUAUUCGGAGGAACACCAGUGGCGAAGGCGGCUCACUGGCUCGGUACUGACGCUGAGGUGCGAAAGCGUGGGGAGCAAACAGG
rnacentral:rRNA from 1 species